UACAGAGGGUGCGAGCGUUAAUCGGAAUUACUGGGCGUAAAGCGUGCGUAGACGGUCAUGUAAGUCGGGUGUGAAAGCCCCGGGCUCAACCUGGGAAUUGCAUUCGAGACUGCAAGGCUAGGGUGCGGAAGAGGGAAGCGGAAUUUCCGGUGUAGCGGUGAAAUGCGUAGAUAUCGGAAGGAACAUCAGUGGCGAAAGCGGCUUCCUGGUCCAGCACCGACGUUCAGGCACGAAAGCGUGGGGAGCAAACAGG
rnacentral:rRNA from 1 species